ensembl:lncRNA
CAGGGAUGGGGCACCCACCACAUCUCUCAGCAACUUGUGCCAGUGCCUCACCACUCUGAUUGUGAAAAUAACAGUAUACCUAUAUUAUAUAUCUCUUGUGUAUAAGGUUUCAGAAUUGCUGCUGCAAAACCUGAAUGAAAAGGCAAAGGAUAUUGGAUAUCCCUCAAGAACAGUCUGAGAAACACAGAAACUUUCAAUGUGUAAAGUACUUGGCACAGUCAAAGGUGAGAAAUGUGGUUGGGAAUAGGGUGGAUUCUGAGUUAGAAGAACCAUAUCUCAAAUAAUUCUGUGAUUCGGACAGACUUGCAGAUCUCACAUUCAGCUCUUUUGGAGUUCCUUGGCUUCAUUCCUCUCAAAGACUUCUCCAUCCUUUGUAUCCUUCUCUAUUCCCAAGGCAACACUGAUUUGAAAUAGCGUUAUUUUUGUGUGAGUAGUUUACAUGUCCCUGCUUUUCCUGUUACAUUGUCACUGGUUUUGUCCAACUGCUUCCUUGAUGUCUCCUCCUGCAUGAAAGGCUGAAUCAAAGAGGAGAAAUAGCUCUGCACACUUGAACGUGAUUGCAGGGUUCCUUUAUGGACCUUCAUUGCCAGGAAGCACUAGGCCUGGAGAAAAGUUAAAUGGCAAAUCUCAACUCUAGGUAUCUGCUUGUUGAAAAUGAACGAGGAAAAAAGAAGCAGGUCCUGAAAACAGGCAGCUUUGAUUUGGUCCUCCUGUGGCACAGGUUUUACUGGCACAGGUUAAUUAUUGCCCCGGUAGCUUGUAAUGAAAGCUAGAUGAAACGAGAGGAACUACGAUGGAGAUGUAGAAGAGCUGCAUGGGCCAUUGCUGUUAGGUUGCCAUGUUUAUACAGUGAUGAUUUUGAAAGGUCAGACAAGAGCUGGAGGAAGACAAGACAACUUCAUGACAUAGACAGCAGCUUUUUGUCUUCAAUAUGGAGGAAAUGGAACUAAACACAAAGGAACUACCCCUGUUUCUGGAAGCCCAUGCAUUAGGGGUCACUGGAGGCCGGGAGUAAACCAGGGAAGGAUCACUCCACGCUCAUCAUGCUGUAGAUGAGCUUUCCUCACUGUCUCCGAAUGGUUCCCUCCCAUGGGCUCUGACUCUGGGGUUGCCAAACACUUCCAGCUUUGACUGAAGACAGUGCACAAAAUAAAUGUUGCAGUUUGCAGGCAUUAAGUUUUACACAGUGACACAAACAGCCCACAGAACCACCUCCUGCUGGUGCCAGCCCUCAUCACUCAGUCCCAGUGGUCCAUCAGCUGCGUAGACACAAAAACCAAUUUUGCUGAUAAAAGAGUGUGUUAUUUAUUUUUAAUACAUUCCUGUUUACUCG